CCAAUGUAUCUUAGUGGCAGACGGGUGAGUAUGCAUAGGAAUCUACCUAGUAGUAUAGGAUAGCCACUAGAAGUGGUGGGUAAUACUGUAUAAUCCCUGCGGGGGAAAGAUUUAUCGCUACAUGAUGAGCCUAUGUUAGAUUAGCUAGUUGGUGGGGUAAUGGCCUACCAAGGCUGUGAUCUAUAGCUGGUCUGAGAGGAUGAUCAGCCACACUGGAACUGAGACACGGUCCAGACUCCUACGGGAGGCAGCAGUGGGGAAUAUUGGACAAUGGGCGCAAGCCUGAUCCAGCUAUGCCGCGUGAGUGAGGAAGGCCUUAGGGUUGUAAAACUCUUUCAGUAGGGAAGAUAAUGACGGUACCUAUAA
rnacentral:rRNA from 1 species